rnacentral:rRNA from 1 species
UCAGACGAUGCGUCAUGCAUAUCAAUAAGCGGAGGAAAAGAAACUAACAAGGAUUCCCCUAGUAACGGCGAGUGAAGCGGGAAGAGCUCAAAUUUGAAAUCUUAAAGGGUUUCCCUUUACGAAUUGUAGUUUAAAGAAGUGUUUUCUGUUGAGGUUUUGGUAAAAGUUCUUUGGAAUAGGACAUCAUAGAGGGUGAGAAUCCCGUAUUUGACCUUUACUUUCAACUUUGUGAUACACUUUCAAAGAGUCGGAUUGUUUGGGAAUGCAGUCCAAAAUGGGUGGUAAAUUUCAUCUAAAGCUAAAUAUUGGCGAGAGACCGAUAGCGAACAAGUACCGUGAGGGAAAGAGUGAAAAGAACUUUGAAAAGAGAGUUAAACAGUACGUGAAAUUGUCAAAAGGGAAGCGUUUGACACCAGUGUUGUUUUUCUGAAAAUCAAUUAAAGAACUGUUUAUGCUAAGCUGUUUAGACUUUAUCAGCUAUCUGUUUAGUUUUGAGCUUUUCUUUAAUGCACUUUUCAGUUAACAAGUCAACAUCAAUUUCUUUUGCUGUAAAAAAGCUUGAGGAAGGUGGCUUGAGAUUCGUCUUAAGUGUUUAUAGCCUCUUGCCUAUGCAGUCGGAGAGAUUGAGGUCUGCAGCGUAGAUCCUUCGGGGCUAAAUGCAUUUGUGCUAAGUUAUAGCAUUUUAUAGACAACUUGCUUGACUAUGAUUUGUCUUGUAGCUUACUCGCUUAUGUUAUUUUACCUACGCUUAGGAUGUUGACACACGCGCGUGCUCG